rnacentral:lncRNA from 1 species
CAAGGAAGUACAUUGUAACAAUUUUUUAAUAAUAGUAAGAGUAUGGAAACAAUUAUGAUGCAUAUGGUAUUCCCUAAUACCAGGGGAACAUUUUCUAAAAUGUCCAAAUGAUAUUGAGCAAAGCAAGAAGCAGCCAGGUGAGUUCUGGGUGUUCCAGAUAACUUGUCCUGGCUGGCAGUAGACUCUAAGGGGUAUGCUGUUAGAGGAAAGCUGAUUUUGCAGGGGCUUUUGGCCUAGCAGUCAUUUGCAGACUCUUUUCAUAUUAAAAUUGGAAGGAGAUUUACCAGUUUUGCCAACAAAGUUCCUCAUGCAAAAAUGGAAAGACAAGAGGCCCACAAACUUUUUGCUUGUUGAAGACGUUUGAAAUGUCUGAGAUUGCAUCUUGCUAGUCUGACACGUGCACCACUGAAGGUUCAGACCGUAACAACAAGGUCUAUUUCUUUUAUAUUGAGAUAGUUGCCACAUUGAUAGACCAAAUUAGGUGGGCAUCCUGAGAAAAUGAUGGAGAUAGCUUAAAUUUGAUAUGCCUUAGGAAAGGUGGGUCAAUAUAAAUCUCAUUGAAUAUUCAUUCACUCAUUCAAUUAUUCAUUUAUACAAUCUGUGUUUGUUGAGCCAAGUACUACACUAGCUAUUGGAGAUAGGGUAAAAAAACAAAGAAGCCAUUGUCUAAAUCUGUGGUUUUUUUAUAGUGCUUCUUUCAGCUUCAUUGGUUAAAACAUCCAUUUAUGCUUUUUUUCUCCUUGUAUUUUCUAUUCUUACCUCUUGUACCAUAUCUUGCUUCCGGUAUCUGGUAGAAGCCAGAGCCUUAGUAAAAGCAACCUCGAGUCAAUAACUCUUUUUGUCUUUUGUGAAAUCCUAUGUGUAUUUAAAAAGAUCAUGUCCCAGAGAGAGAGAUGAAACAGUGAAGUCUUUGAGGGCAAAGAAAUGGAGAGAAAUUCCUUUGAAUGGAAAAGAGGAGAAAGAUUUAUGUGUUUCCAGACUAGCAUAGAUGUGUAUACUAUAUACUGCUAUGUGGCUCCCUGUAUCCUGAAGAGGAUACAGAACUCAGAAGUUAAGACUAUAAUGAGUGCCUGGGGAGGUGGGACCUGUAUCAUGAAGGUAUCCAGCCUUAGAAAGUGUUUCCUGACACUUGAGUGGCACAGGAGUUAAUAAACAUGAGAGGCUGGAGCUCAGAGGCUUGGACUCUGAGAUAUCAAUGGUCAUCACAUAAAGAUUAGAAGGCCAUAUCUUUUCUUUUUUUUAAAAGAAAGGUCAUAUAUAUAGAAAUUCUUAAAUUUUAUUUAGUCCAGUAUUGACCAUUGGACCUUCCAACCCCCUCUCUCUCUCCUGUCCCACUCCCCUUUUUUUCUUUUUCUUUUUCUUUUCCUUUUUUUUUUUUUUUUUUGAGACCAGGUCUCAUUCUGUCUGCCAGGCUGGAGUGCAGUGGCGAGAUCAUGGCUCAUUGCAGCCUUGACCUCCCCAGGCUCGAGGGAUCUUUCCACCUCAGCCUCCCUAGUAGCGCAAAAUACCUGUAGUAGCUAAGAUGUAGGAUAAGAUCAGGUUUUGGGUAAGAUGAAAUGGAGCUAAAAUUUCAAGUUUGACACAGGUCACGUUUGGGAUUAUUGUUUUUGGAUUAUUGGAAAAGAAGUAGUACCACAGAUUUGCCAGAACCUAAUGUCUGCCUGGCUUAAUUCAAACAGUUGGUAGUUAUUGAUUGCUGGGGAAAAGUGGAGAAUAGAGGAAUGGAAAAAGAGAGGAAGGAAAAGUAGGUGGUAAGUACAAGGUCCACUCAGCUACAGAGUCCAUCUUCUUCCUGUAACACCUCACUGAACCUACUAGCCUUUAUCAUGCAAGUCAUUGAAUCUCUUGAAUCUUAUUAAUAGUUUUUUAUCUGUAAAAUGGGAGUGAUGGUAUCUUUUUCAGCUACUUUGCAAGGUUGUUUUAAGGCUAAACAGAAAAAGAUAGAACAUAUACAGGGUUCACUAUGAGUAAGA